GACGAACGCUGGCGGCGUGCUUAACACAUGCAAGUCGAGCGGAAAGGCCACUUCGGUGGUACUCGAGCGGCGAACGGGUGAGUAACACGUGAGUAAUCUGCCCUCCACUUUGGGAUAAGCCCCGGAAACGGGGUCUAAUACCGGAUAUGACCUGCCGACGCAUGUUGGUGGGUGGAAAGUUUUUUCGGUGGGGGAUGUGCUCGCGGCCUAUCAGCUUGUUGGUGGGGUAAUGGCCUACCAAGGCUUCGACGGGUAGCCGGCCUGAGAGGGUGACCGGCAACACUGGGACUGAGACACGGCCCAGACUCCUACGGGAGGCAGCAGUGGGGAAUAUUGGACAAUGGGCGGAAGCCUGAUCCAGCAACGCCGCGUGAGGGAUGACGGCCUUCGGGUUGUAAACCUCUUUCAGCGGGGACGAAGCGCAAGUGACGGUAUGUGCAGAAGAAGGACCGGCCAACUACGUGCCAGCCGCCGCAGUAAAAC
rnacentral:rRNA from 1 species